rnacentral:lncRNA from 1 species
AAACUAUGACCUGAAGAUGCUAUGGGAGAUGAACCUGGUGAUCCAAAACAUGCUUUUAUUGAGAGGAUGGAAUUCCUUCAACAAUCCACAGAAUGCUCAGCCUUCAGGCAAAUAUGCUGUGGGGGUUGCUAACCGGGCAAAUAUUUGUGUUGCAGCACGAGGCUAAUGAUUAUAAUGCAGGGCUGUUGAGAGAUAUGGGGAGGGGAGACUGGGACAUUUCUUUUUUUAUAUAAAUGCAACAACAGCAACAGCAACAACAGUAAUGUGAGGUAUCAAUUCUCAUGAAUCCUGGAAGCAAUGGAUGGAUUGGCGCCUAAAGGACAAAGCCUUCCGAGCCUGGCAAUCGGGGAAGAGCCAGUUGGGGAUGACGUCUUUAGGAUCUGGAUGCAAAUGUUAAUGGAAUUUUGUUGCUGUUGUUUAGUCAUUUAGUCGUGUCUGACUUCGUGACCUCAUGGACCAGAGCACGCCAGGCCCUCGUGUCUUCCACUGCCU